rnacentral:rRNA from 1 species
UACGGAGGGUGCGAGCGUUGUCCGGAAUCACUGGGCGUAAAGGGCGCGUAGGCGGCCUGGUAAGUAGGGGGUGAAAUCCCGCGGCUCAACUGCGGGUCUGCAGUCGAUACGGGCAGGCUAGAGUUCGGUAGGGGAGACUGGAAUUCCUGGUGUAGCGGUGAAAUGCGCAGAUAUCAGGAGGAACACCGGUGGCGAAGGCGGCAUCCUGGACCGAAAUUGACGCUGAGGCGCGAAAGCCAGGGGAGCAAACGGG